rnacentral:misc_RNA from 1 species
UCCGGCUUGUCACCGGCAGUUUCUCCAAAGUGCCCAGCAUAACCUGAUGGCAACUGGAGACGAGGGUUGCGCUCGUUGCGGGACUUAACCCAACAUCUCACGACACGAGCUGUCGACAGCCAUGCAGCACCUGUGCUGACUCCGGCCGAACCGAAGGUCCCAUCUCUGAGACCGGCGAGUCACAUGUCAAGGGCUGGUAAGGUUCUUCGCGUUGCAUCGAAUUAAACCACACGCUCCGCUGCUUGUGCGGGCCCCCGUCAAUUCCUUUGAGUUUUAGCCUUGCGGCCGUACUCCCCAGGCGGGACACUUAAUGCGUUAGCUUCGGCACUGGCGGGGUUGAUACCACCAACACCUAGUGUCCAUCGUUUACGGCUAGGACUA